rnacentral:rRNA from 1 species
UACGUAGGUGGCAAGCGUUGUCCGGAAUUAUUGGGCGUAAAGCGCGCGUAGGCGGUCCUUUAAGUCUGAUGUGAAAGCCCACGGCUCAACCGUGGAGGGUCAUUGGAAACUGGGGGACUUGAGUACAGAAGAGAAGGGUGGAAUUCCACGUGUAGCGGUGAAAUGCGUAGAGAUGUGGAGGAACACCAGUGGCGAAGGCGACUCUUUGGUCUGUAACUGACGCUGAGGCGCGAAAGCGUGGGGAGCAAACAGG